CAUAUGGGCGGGGCCGGCGUCGCAGCGUGUGCUGCGUGCGUAAGUUCGGGUCAAAAAAGGGUGGACUGCAGCGGUCAUACGGUGAAAAACCUAGCCGGCACGCUCCUUCUCCUCGACCUUCCUCCUCUUCUGCCGCCGCCGCCUCUCCUCCUCUUCUUCUCUCUCCUGUGCCGUCGCCGCUUCUCACCCCCCCUCUCCACGCUAGCACGGUAGGGUCAUCGGGAUGAGCAGCGGCGGGCAUCUGUCGGUGUGCCGGAGUACAGCGGCGGGCUUCUGUGGUGUGCUGGAGUGCGCGGAUGACGAAAGCAGCGGAGGCAGCGGCCACGACCGUGCCCUCCUCUGCGCUUCCUCUCCAAAUACCCUCGGCUUCCGCACGGUGGAGACGGGUACACGGACUAGGCAGGCCACGGGACGACGGCUGGUCGAGCACCCACCGCAGCGAGGAGAGAUCGAGUACAACUCCCAGUUCAUGGAGGGGAUGCUGAUACAGGUUUGCUCUCCUCCUCCGCCACACCCAGGCCGAGCAGGCACCGGCAACACAUGAGCAGGAGGAGGAGCCCUUCCCAGGCUCGCGGGCCCGCUGCGAUGAAGCCGCCAGAGGAAGACCUGGACGACGACUGCUAGCCGAGGAGCCCCAAAGAAUUUCCCCAAACUUUCCUGUGCCUCCGCCCCCUCUUGAUUCAGUUGAGGGAGUACUCCUUGCUUCGAGAAGUACUUUUGAUUAAAGCUUCUUCGAUGCCCCAUGAACACUCAGGUUUGCUUUCAAGCUGCGGCGGAUUCUUAAAACGUAUUGUGGUUCAUGAAUUAUUUAGCAAUGAUAAAAUUUUCUCUAUUGUUAUUUGUUCUUAGGAUGUAACAAGUUCCCCAUGUCGAUGUUUAUCUUAGCACAUGACUGAAUAGUUUGACAAUGUUUAUAAUUUAUCACUUUCAAGUCAGCCUUUGUGUGAUUCAAAAAGAACCCACAUACUGUUGCGGGGUACAAAAUUACUUUUUCAGCUGGGUUUGUUCAAUAGGCUGUAAAUUUUGAGCAGAACGAUACAGAUCAACAGUCCAUGUUUAUAUAUACAUGCAUAAGAAUAUGUUGUGCGGCGAGGAUUUGUACAGAUUGGAAAGGGAAUUAACUAACAUCUUCGUAACGGCAGAAUGUUCCGUGAUUCUUCACGUAAGAUACUAAGAUUUGUUGAUGAUGCUUUGUUUGAGGUUCUGUGUACAUUGCACUUCAGUUCAGAACAUGGAGGGCUAAGAUGAUCACCAAUCGAUGACUAUUUCUUGUGUUUAUGGAAAUAGUACCCUGUAAUGAAUACCUUCAGCUACAUAGAUUCCUCAACCAAAGUUCAUGAUGGUUCAAUUUAUUUGAUGUUUUCUUCAGUUUUGGGACGGCAAUCACAGGAGCCAUUGCAUUUUCUUUGUCACAAUGGCAUUAGGUAGUUGUACCUACUGCGGUUGUUACACUAAUAUCUACUUAUUACCUGUUGCUAUAGUUACAAAGCUUCAACAGUUUACUAUAAAUUAGACUGGACUGAUUCCUAGAUAUCAUUGUAUUUUACCCAUAGGAUCAAUUUCCAAUGAGUUGGUGCCUAGGGUCUUGCGGCGAGCACAUUCUCUUUAGCUGCUGCCAUUUAUUCUGCUGCUUUCGUACAGCCUAGCACUCUUCUGUGGUGGGGCAUAUGUUAUUUUGUACCAAUGAUAGAUACAGAAAGUGCAAGACUUCUACUCUCUACUUAAUGAACUGAUUUUGCUUCAGGAUAACUAGCUUGAUUAAUUAGCAUGUUUCUGUGAUCAAUGAAUUACUAAGGUUGUGACCCCAGCUUGGAGGCUUGAGUUCCUUCGGUAGUUCUUUAUUUUACUUAAAUGAUCAUGCACCCUUUACUUAACAUAUGUCCUUUUGUACCUUAGCAAAGCAUUAGUUAGAUAUCUCAAUUUUUCAUGUGGGUCGUAGUCGUUGCUUAGUUAGCAUUAUUGUUUUGUUAGGUGUUAUCAUGUGUCCUGAACCUAUGCAGAUAGGUCUUACUUUGUCUUAGUUAUAGUUAAGAUCAAUGCGUACUGGAACAUUUAAGUAUUUCACCUAUAAUUUUCCAAGAUUGUGGCGAGCAUAUGUUUUCAUCUUACUGCAGGAGAGGUUGGUUUCACAUUGUAUUUGGAAGAAUGAGAUGCCCCAGAUCAAAUAUUAUCAAAAAAGCAGAAGAGCUAGGUGUAUAUAUGCUGAGAUGAUCCGCUCUUACAUUUUUUCUUGACGUGUAAAAGGUGCACUAGCUUGUCUAUGGCCCUCAUUGUUGUUUGGAAACAUUUCUGCUCUUCGCUUCAACAAUGCGCUCCUUUUUUUGUGAAGAGCAAUGCACUCAUUGAUGCUACUUUGUUAACAUGUCUUCGUUGGGUCUUGUUUCUUAUUUUUAUAACUACGGAUUUAGCAAGAGACUUUUUUGCCUCUGUAUUUUCACCAUACUUCCAUUUCAUAUUUUUAUUAGUGCAGUUUCUGAAUUAUUAUCCAGUGCCUUUUGGAGCUCGAGCUCCAUGGGACCCGAUAUUUGUACAUAUUUCAACCUGUUUUUUCUUGGAAGGUAAUCAUACGCUGAUGGGGAGGGUGUACCUAUUUUUUCAUCAAUUUGCCUUCUUUUGCUCUCCUAUUACCAUUCCCCUUUAGACAUAUCUUAUUUGAGAUUGUGCCUUCUUCGCCUUAUGACAUCUUUUUCUUAGCGAGUAAUUCCACCAUCUUUUUUGUUGUUUGGUUCCUAUUUGCUACUUCAGUGGUUUUUCCCUGAUCCUGAGAUUUUGUUAUUUUGUUUCUAUCUGGAGUCUGUAGAAAAAUGAAACCGUUUUACAUUUUAAUUUGCUCUGCAACUAAAGUCAUGUUGGACUCUAGGUGAUGAAGGACUAGCGUUGAGCCUGAGGUGACCUCAGCUCAUUUUUUUCAAUUCUGAUUUAGUUCAGAUUUUGAACCAUGAUUGCUACUUCAAAUUUGAUUAUCUUUUUUUGUCUUUCUGUAGUAGUGUUUCGUCUUUUAAAUUGCACUGCUAUUGGUACUUUGAUUCUGCUUCUAACCAUAUACAAGAGCAUCAGUGGGGAGCUAGGCCUACCUCUUAUUUAUGUUCUAUGCAUCUAAAUGCCGCCCUUUUUCAUUUAUACUCUUACAAUUAUCUUGAUGUAUGUAAUCUUUUUUUAUUCGGGUGAUUUCGCUCACGAGAUGCUUACAUGGUACUUGAGGCUUAAGCCUAUGUACCCUGCAUGUUUAUUGAUGUGGUUCAUCAUGCCUUCCUAGCUCCUUUUCAGCUGCCUGCUCAAAGUGAUUGGGCAUGUGAUGUUGUUGACACUGCUGUGUAAAUAAUAUUUCGUGCCCAGCAUCUUAGUUCAGCUGAUGGUUUGCAACUUAUAUCACUUACUUACCUGCUUUAAGUAGGUGAUUUUAAUGCUUUAAGUAGGUGAUUUUAACCUGCUGGAGCCCUCUGUGAUGAAAAAAGUGAACUGUUCAUGCCUUAUUUCAGAAAACUAAAUAUGCGCCAUGCUGAUAUACUUCAUGACGAGCAUGUUUUUGACAUCCAUUAAUGAUGCCCUGUUUUGACUUUUGAGUAGAUGAUUCUUUAUUUAUUAACCUAUACACCAAUAUUGUUUCCAUUGAUCAAUCUCAUAGUACUUUGUGUGUGUUUUUCUUAUCUUGAGCUGAAAACUUAUUGUCAGGUUAAACUAUUUUGUGGAUCAUUUAUAAUAUGGAUGUUCUGUAAAAGAAUAUUUACUGGAAUGUUAUGUAAAACCUAAGGCUCAAAAGGAAAGCUUCGGUAAAUUAGAAUAUUAAUUGAAAUAUUUAGGCGUUUCAUUAAAUUGGUCUGGAAGUCCAAGCUCAUCCAUUUAAUUAUUUGAGAGCAUCAUCAGUAUAGUUUUUUUCCAGAGACACAAUUUUGAGAAAAAAGAUACAUGGCCACCAAAUGAAUGUGUUGCUAUGCCGACUACUGUCCAGUCCAUUUACACUUCUUAUUUUCCUCUCUCCUGGAUUUCACAGGGCUCGAGUCCUAUAUAUAUUCUAAAUGUAUUUAUGCAAUUUUACUCUGCUGCUUGCACAUCCAUGGAUCUGAAAGUAUUGCGGGAGCUCCCAUGAUGGACUAUGAUGAAAAAGUAUUUCUUGUUGCCUGUUCUGUUGUGGUGCAAGUGUACCAUGAUGGACUAUGAUGAAAAAGUAGAGGGGCAUUGCCCGCUCUACUUCUUGCUCCAGUCAAGGACCUAAGCUCCUGCUGAUGCAGAUGUCCUGUAUUUGAUGGCCCUCCUAUGCCCUGCUCCUCUCGCAUUGGUGCAAAUUCGCUUCCUCCCCCGCCUCCGUCUCUACGUGUGCAGCGAUGACCCCGGGAGGAGCUCGAGCCGCAGCGGUGGUCCAUGGUUCCGUCGCCUUCGUCCUCGGCAGGAGAAGCGUGGGCUGCAGAGGAUUCGUCCGACCCUCGCGCUGCCGUCUGUCCACCCUUGAGGAUAAUGUGUUUGUUCCGCUGAUCUGUACAGUUUCAAUACCGAGUUGUUAAGGAGAAUGUUGAUGAUGCAUAUUCUACGACUUGCAGACCCCCCAACAGCAAAUUCAGUCCUACGUCUUUGAUGGUGAAGCGUGAAGAGCUACUUGAAUACACGUGAAAUGUCAUUUCAUGUCAUUUCAGGACUUGAGAGAAAUGCUGAUAUUAUGAGAAACAUUUACAAGGAUGGCCGACAGUGUGCGGCACUGACCUAGAUGGCGUGCCGCAUCAUUUCGGCCCAACCCCAAUGUUUCCCUCGCCACCCACGGCCAGAUGG